UACAUAAUUGUUUUCAUUUGAAAUGAUAUUGACCAAUCAUUUUGAGACACGUGGCACCCUGAUAUACACGCCAUUAAUUUUUAUUAAAAUUAAUAAAAAUAUUAACCCAUGCUAAUAUUAUUAUUAAAUCAGUAAUUUGUGAUUUUUUUGGUGAAAGUAGAAAAAAAUCAUUUAUUAAAAUGUAAAAAAAAAUUGAGGUUUGUUUUUAUUUUUUGUUAUUAAACUCAUAUCUUUAUCAUAUAUAGUGUAUAAAUGCUCCACAUUUAUUUUCUCCUUUUCCAUGGUAAUCUUGUCUUUGGACAGCCGUGUGAGUCAAGCCCAUGAUUGGACUGAAACCGGAAAUACAGAUACUGAUGCGACUUAUAAAGAUAAAACAUUUGGCGAGGGAGGUUUAUGGUUUGGUUCAAUUGUUGACUGGUAAAUUUUUAUGUGACAUAGGUGAUGAGGAUUCUCUCUGUUUCCAACAGGCUCUAUCCUCUAGUUGAGGUUGCGAGUCGUUGAUGAGGCUGUAAUAAGGGCAUAUGAAAAACCCACAAAGAGCAAAAGAGAGUGAGACAGAGAGGAGGCCAUGGAAAUGGAGAUGGAGAAGAAGAGAGUGAGCUCGUGAUGGGUGCGGCAGGCUUGAUGGCACUGUGGAUAGUCCAUGGAACGUAUAGUUUUUGGCAGUUGAUUCUCUGGAAUAUUUGAAUGGAGUGAAUAGACGACGAGAAGUAUGCUCAUUGCUCACUUGAACAAGCUCGAGUGAACAUCUGACAACCUUGAACUCUUCAAGGCAAAUUUAUUGUACUAUGACUCCCUCUCGCCAGCAAUCGUAGGAUGCACCGGAGUUCUUCACGUCACCUCUCGGUCCCAUCUUCCUCUGCUACCUUUUGCGACCCUGUCGCAAGACCAUGAGCACCCAAAAAAAAAAAAAGAACUUCUGUAGUUUGAUGAUUUUACAUGUUUAGAUGGUACCAGUCUCUUGUGCGUGCUCAAUACCUUGUCUCAGGUUGAAUUGCUCAAACCAGUGGUACGAGGGACACAAUGUUCUCAAGGCAUGCCCUGAAGCGGAAGUUACACGGGUUGUUCAUGUCUCAUUUAUCGGGGCUGUGGGAAUGUGAACCCAAACUGGCCUAAGAACCAACUUGUGGAUGAUGUUUGCUGGUCGGACAAGGAAUACUGCGGAUCCUUUGAGAACUGGUAUUGUCUUUCGAAGACUGAAGCAAAAGGCGCUGCUUUUGAGUAUGGGAAAGAGAACGGGUUUGAUGUUGUAGCAGUUUGUCCAGGCUUUAUAUCCGGGCCUAUUCUGCAGUCCCGAGCACGUUGGUCGUCGUAAAGCUUGUGGAUGGUGGUGAGGAUUUUGUUCCCAACCGAUGCGAGAUGUUGCUGAAGCCGAAUAAUGGCAUAUGAAAUACCCAAGGCUGAAGGUAUAUACAUAUGCACAGUGCGAGCUAUCAAGUCCCGUGAUUUGGCAGACAAGCUCCGUAGUCUUUACUUACCCGAAGAAGUAAGCUCUUCUCCGUACGGCGCAACAAAUACUACAUCCAUCUAUCUGGCCUAGAGGGUUUUUGUUAUGACAUUUACAUAUGUCGAGAAUUAACCCAAGAAGUUGAGCUCAGAGAGGCUGCGGAAGCUGGGAUGGACUUACUGGCCGCUCGACUAAAUAUUCAUAGACUUCAUAGAGAACUACCGAGAGGCCAGGCUGCUUAAAUAAUAGCUAUGGUUUAUUAGGAAACUAGUAAGCUUCUCUUCCUGCUGUCAUUGAUACGUUACCCUGCGAAUGAAAAGUGAUUUCCUAGGUUUCUACUAAUAACGACAUUGUUCGAAAUGUACUUACUUUGAAUGGUGAGUUUCUAUUUUCGAGUCAUUUAUUUCACGAGACAUUUACAGAUGAACGAUUAGAUUCUAGAGAAAAAAGAUUUUUGCAAGCCAUCAACAUAACGCCGCCAGAAAUAGUGUCUUUUGCUGCUUUACGCGACGUACAAUCCGUCCCUGAUAAUGAGACUAAAUCACUGUGAGCAUCUUUUGUAUACUAGGACGAGGCUGUCUUUCAUUAAUUGAUGCUGACGGAUCCACAACCAGAGCCAGGUCAGAUCUUAUGCGGCUGUGAGUCUGUGACCAUGGGCAAUUCGCGCAAGGCCAGAUCGGCUACUAAUGAUGUACGUAGACCUAACUUGUGCUUGUAUUUGGCGGACCUUCCAAAGGAGGGACUAAACUCUACUAUACACCAUAUACCCAAAAUUUGAUCUUGGGAACAGAAUAAGGUCUCCCUGUACAGAAUGGUUUCAUCUCCGUCCACGUCGAAACUUGCAUCGUAUGCAUUUAUUUCCGCUAAGAUUUUUCUAACAUCUCCUGCUAGUACAUGCAAGAACCUAAAAUGUCACAUACAAGUACAAAGAUGUCCGGUGGAGGCAACAGCCAGUAGCAACACACGUAAGCCAU